rnacentral:rRNA from 1 species
AGAGUUUGAUCCUGGCUCAGGAUGAACGCUAGCGACAGGCUUAACACAUGCAAGUCGAGGGGCAGCGGUGGUGAAGGCUUGCCUUUACCAGCCGGCGACCGGCGCACGGGUGAGUAACACGUAUGCAACCUGCCUGCCACAGCCGGAUAAUCGGGAGAAAUUCCGUCUAAUACGGCAUAAUGCACCUAUGGGACAUCCUGUUGGUGCCAAAGGUUGAUUCCGGUGGCGGAUGGGCAUGCGUCGCAUUAGUUAGUUGGCGAUGUAACGGACCACCAAGACGACGAUGCGUAGGGGUUCUGAGAGGAAGGUCCCCCACACUGGUACUGAGACACGGACCAGACUCCUACGGGAGGCAGCAGUGAGGAAUAUUGGUCAAUGGGCGGGAGCCUGAACCAGCCAAGUCGCGUGAGGGAUGACGGCCCUAUGGGUUGUAAACCUCUUUUGCCGGGGAGCAAAGUGCCGCACGUGUGCGGUUUGGAGAGUACCCGGAGAAAAAGCAUCGGCUAACUCCGUGCCAGCAGCCGCGGUAAUACGGAGGAUGCGAGCGUUAUCCGGAUUUAUUGGGUUUAAAGGGUGCGUAGGCGGGCUUUUAAGUCAGCGGUAAAAAUUCGGGGCUCAACCCCGUCCGGCCGUUGAAACUGGGGGCCUUGAGUGGGCGAGAAGAAGGCGGAAUGCGUGGUGUAGCGGUGAAAUGCAUAGAUAUCACGCAGAACCCCGAUUGCGAAGGCAGCCUUCCGGCGCCCUACUGACGCUGAGGCACGAAAGUGCGGGGAUCGAACAGGAUUAGAUACCCUGGUAGUCCGCACAGUAAACGAUGGAUGCCAGCUGUCCGGGCCGAAUGGGGCCUGGGUGGCAAAGCGAAAGCGUUAAGCAUCCCACCUGGGGAGUACGCCGGCAACGGUGAAACUCAAAGGAAUUGACGGGGGCCCGCACAAGCGGAGGAACAUGUGGUUUAAUUCGAUGAUACGCGAGGAACCUUACCCGGGCUCAAACGCGUCAGGGAUCCCCUCUGAAAGGAGGGGAGUCAGCAAUGACCUGGCGCGAGGUGCUGCAUGGUUGUCGUCGGCUCGUGCCGUGAGGUGUCGGCUUAAGUGCCAUAACGAGCGCAACCCCUACCGACAGUUGCUAACUGGUGAAGCAGAGGACUCUGUCGGGACUGCCGGCGCAAGCUGCGAGAAAGGCGGGGAUGACGUCAAAUCAGCACGGCCCUUACGUCCGGGGCGACACACGUGUUACAAUGGCAGGUACAGCGGGAAGCCACCGGGCGACCGGGCGCGGAACCCGAAAACCUGUCUCAGUUCGGAUCGGAGUCUGCAACCCGACUCCGUGAAGCUGGAUUCGCUAGUAAUCGCGCAUCAGCCACGGCGCGGUGAAUACGUUCCCGGGCCUUGUACACACCGCCCGUCA